UACAGAGGGUGCGAGCGUUAAUCGGAAUUACUGGGCGUAAAGCGCACGUAGUCGGUUUUGCAAGUCGGUUGUGAAAUCCCCGGGCUCAACCUGGGAACUGCAUCCGAGACUGCAUUGCUAGAGUAUGGGAGAGGAAAGCGGAAUUUCUGGUGUAGCAGUGAAAUGCGUAGAUAUCAGAAGGAACAUCAGUGGCGAAGGCGGCUUUCUGGACCAAUACUGACGAUCAGGUGCGAAAGCGUGGGGAGCAAACAGG
rnacentral:rRNA from 1 species